rnacentral:lncRNA from 1 species
CCCGGAACCAAAAUACGUCAACAACAUAAGCACAUUAGAGCGGUCUACAAAACAGCGGUCGAACUCGAAAAAUCUAUUUUAGUGUGCAUAUAAUUUCCUUCCAGAAAAAUGUCCUCUAAAACUCUUGGUGGUGAUAAAUUUAUUGUAGACUACUUGCAUCCUUUAUUUGGAGCUGAAAAUGACUCGGAAAUGUUUUCUCAAAUGGUCUGGAUCUCAUUCCUCUAUACUCUAAGUGUUAUUUUCACUAUGUAUAUAUUACCAGCCCCAUAUGCAGCUCAAAAUUUGGAUUUCUCAUCCCUGGAAAAUUUGCCUGGAUGACUCAGGAAUGCCCAGCUCUUAUAGUACCUGUAAUUUUACUAUUGACUACAUCUGCAACCUGUUGGCAUUCCACUGCAAAUAAGAUUCUCUUGUUAGGUUUUAUCAUUCAUUAUGUUCAAAGGGCUUUCAUCUUUCCACUGAGCAUGAGUAAUCCCAUGAAAAGUUCUCCCUUUCUUGUUUACAUUUCAGCAUUGUCCUUCUGCUAAUUCAAUGGCUUCAUGCAAGGACAUUACCUUUUAAAUUAUCAUCAGUAUGAUGAUAAAUGGACUGCUUCUCCUCAAUUCAUAAUAGGGAUAAUCAUCUUUUAUGCUGGGAUGGCCAUCAAUAUCCAUUCAGAUCAGCUACUGAUUCAUUUGCGCAAACCGGGAGAAACCGGAUACAAAAUUCCAACUGGUGGAUUGUUCGACUACAUCACCGGUGCCAAUUUCUUCGGAGAAAUUAUCGAGUGGACCGGAUUUGCAGUUGCUUCAGACUGCAGUCCUCCAGCAACCAUCUUCGCUGUUUUCUCUGCAGCCUAUCUCGGCAUGAGAGCAUGGCAUCAUCAAAAUUAUUACCUAUCUAAAUUUGAAGAUUAUCCACGAACAAGAAAAAUAAUCAUUCCAUUUGUAUUCUAACCGCCAAAGAGGAUAACAUAGUGAUGUUAUAGAGCAGAAAAAAUAUAAAUUGUUAA